UACGUAGGUGGCAAGCGUUGUCCGGAUUUACUGGGCGUAAAGAGCGCGUAGGCGGCUCGUUAAGUGUGAAGUGAAAUCUCCAGGGCUCAACCCGGAAACUGCUUUACAUACUGGCGAGCUGGAGUGAUGAAGAGGUUUGUGGAAUUCCUGGUGUAACGGUGAAAUGUGUUGAUAUCAGGAGGAACACCCAUGGCGAAGGCAGCAAACUGGUCAUCAACUGACGCUGAGGCGCGAAAGCGUGGGUAGCAAACAGG
rnacentral:rRNA from 1 species